AUGGGUUCUUCCUCGAGCAACGCCAGGGAAGCGGCGGCGGCGGCGCCACCGCCACCACCACCUCCUCCUGCUGCGCCGCCGGCCCCCCUCCACGUGAUGGACGCGGACGAGGACGACGAGAGCGUGAAGCAGCUCAACGAGUGCGCCGCCCUCUACCUCUCCCUCCAGGACUGCCUCUCCGAGUCCGACCGCAACUGGAAGGCCUGCCAAGCACAUGUACAAGCCUUGAAAGCAUGUGAGGCGAGCAGAAACAAAAAUCAGAAAACAUGA
rnacentral:rRNA from 1 species